AUUUCAAGUAUGUAUCAGUAAAAGCUCCCAUAAUUUGCUGCCACUACAUGUAAAAUCCACAAGCAAUUUUAAGCCAAAAUUCUUUUAAAGAACGAGCUGAAAAUUCCUGUAAAUAAUAUGCAACUUAGAGAUGUAUGGAACUCCUUUAUUAUGUGUUAAAUGCUGUAAUAAAACAGGCUAUCAAUAGGUUUUGCUGCAUGUUACUAAUUUUAUUUUUUUUAAUCUUGGUAUUUUUGCAGGUGUGUGGAGGAACAGGUCCUGUUCUCGCUGUUGUUACUCCCACAUAGGCAGACUGUAAUUGAUUAUGUGUGGGUAGGGCCCUAUUGAAAUUCAGGAGAUUCUGCAGUAGUGCGGGGUUCUUUUUGUGAAAGUUCAGUUGCAAGAUCAGGACCCCACUGUGACUCCUAACUGUGAAUUCUGUCAGUGUAUCAUUGAUUGUGCUGGAACCUGCCUUUUGGGAUAAUUACCAAAUACUAUAUUCCUCAAAACUUCUUAAUGGCACUGAGGCUUUGUGGAUAGUUGGUCACAUGAGAAAAUUAAGCUGGAGUGGGCAUUUGCUGCACAGCUACACAUUGUGUGGACUUGAGAAUACCUCAAGAGCUGAAAUGCUGAACUACAGCAACAGAGUAAGUUUCCUUCUGUGCACUGAGAAGAAAAGCAAAGGAAUGUGCCUGAACGUUAAGCAUGUUAGUUGUAAGUUUGUGAGAUCUUUUUUUCUGUUGCUGUUUGCACUUGGCUUGUAUCAUGACUGUCCUGUCUUCAAACUGGAUGUAGCAUGUCUUUGUGUCGAAUGAGGCACUCCUCAUAAUCUAACGUCAUGAACAUUGUUUUUCUUCAACCCUUAAAAGUCAAAACAUGGCAGCAUAGAUAGCUGUAAUAAGUUAAUAAUAAAUGUGACAUGAAAGAAUUUUCUCA
ensembl:lncRNA